GUGAAGAACGUAGCAAAAUGCGAUAAGUAAUGUGAAUUGCAGAAUUCAGUGAAUCAUCGAAUCUUUGAACGCACAUUGCGCCCGCCAGUAUUCUGGCGGGCAUGCCUGUUCGAGCGUCAUUUCAACCCUCAAGCACAGCUUGGUGUUGGGACUCGCGUUAAUUCGCGUUCCUCAAAUUGAUUGGCGGUCACGUCGAGCUUCCAUAGCGUAGUAGUAAAACCCUCGUUACUGGUAAUCGUCGCGGCCACGCCGUUAAACCCCAACUUCUGAAUGUUGACCUCGGAUCAGGUAGGAAUACCCGCUGAACUUAAGCAUAUCAAUAAGCGGAGGA
rnacentral:misc_RNA from 1 species